rfam:Pteropus alecto contig27358, whole genome shotgun sequence.
GUCUACAGCCAUGCCACCCUGAACAUGCCUGAUCCUGUCUGAUUUCAGAAGCUAAGCAGGGUCGGGCCUGGUUAGUACUUGGCUGGGAGACCACCUAGGAAGACCAGGUGCUGUAGGCU